rnacentral:lncRNA from 1 species
UGACUCCGGAGACGAAUCAAGCGACGAUGAAGAAGACGAAGCCGCAAAUCUAUGUCUCAUGGCACACGAAGACAAUCAAGAAGAGGUAUGUCAAAUUUGUUCAAAAAAUUUCUUUUCUCUUGAGGAAAUGCAAAAUGCUUUUGACGAAUUGUAUAGUGAAUUCAUUAGAGCUUCCGAAACUGUUAGAGACGUAAAGAAAAAUUCUUCUUUGAAAGAAAAAGAUUUUGAAAAACGACUCUAUUUGAAAGAAAAAGAUUUGGAAAAAUUGAUUUUGGAAAAUGAGAAGUUGAAAGAAGAAAACAAAUUUUUCGGCAAGAGAAGCGCCGACGAACCCGAGAGUUCUAGUAAAAAUUGUAUUUCUUGCGUGCAUCUAAAAGAUGAAGUAGAAAGACUCAAGGGCAC